rnacentral:rRNA from 1 species
AGUGAACGCUGGCGGUAGGCCUAACACAUGCAAGUCGAACGGCAGCACAGGAGAGCUUGCUCUCUGGGUGGCGAGUGGCGGACGGGUGAGGAAUACAUCGGAAUCUACUCUGUCGUGGGGGAUAACGUAGGGAAACUUACGCUAAUACCGCAUACGACCUACGGGUGAAAGCAGGGGACCUUCGGACCUUGCGCGACUGAAUGAGCCGAUGUCGGAUUAGCUAGUUGGCGGGGUAAAGGCCCACCAAGGCGACGAUCCGUAGCUGGUCUGAGAGGAUGAGCAGUCACACUGGAACUGAGACACGGUCCAGACUCCUACGGGAGGCAGCAGUGGGGAAUAUUGGACAAUGGGCGCAAGCCUGAUCCAGCCAUACCGCGUGGGUGAAGAAGGCCUUCGGGUUGUAAAGCCCUUUUGUUGGGAAAGAAAUCCAGCUGGCUAAUACCCGGUUGGGAUGACGGUACCCAAAGAAUAAGCACCGGCUAACUUCGUGCCAGCCGCCGCAGUAA